GGUUAUCAGCUGUGCCUCCCUCUUAGAGGUCCUCGGAGUCCAGAGUCCUCGAAGGGAAAUCUGACACAAAGAAGCAGCAGGUAAAUGAAGGAGAAAAGAAAAGAACAAAAUCCACCGGGAACCAGAGACUUCCAGGCUCCAAAGACAGGCAAUCUCCACCAGGAACAUAUGACCUAGGAGCAGGAGUGAAGGAUGGGAGUGAAGCAAGGAAGGAAAGAGAGUCGAUUACAGAGCUGUUUCGUUGAGCUGGUCACAGCUCCUGUGUCCAAUCUCGUGGGGCUGCCUGAGAUGUCUUGAAGUCAUAAGCCCAGAGAAAGAACAGAGGGGAUGCCUUUAUCCACUGGAUCCAUUUUUCCAAUGAUCAAAGGGCUGGAGUGCAGCUGAGGUCUGGCUUUAGCCAAGGAGAGCACCUUGAAACCUGGCAGAGAAUUACAGUGAACCAGAAGACUAAGUGAAGCAUGAACUGGCAUAAUAUGCUUUCCUGGCUGAAAACCAUGAAUGACCCAGAAUAGUUCAUAUCUUUGGAAGAUCCUUAUUUUCCUUGUAAAUGAAAGUCAUGCAUUUGGAAUAAUAACAUGAAAUGAUGUGAAUGGUAGGGACUCAAAAACUUUCUCUUCCAAAAAUAUUCUACAGAUUCAUGCUCAGGAAAGCCAAAU
rnacentral:lncRNA from 1 species